GUAGGUGGCAAGCGUUGUCCGGAAUUAUUGGGCGUAAAGCGCGCGCAGGCGGUUUUUUAAGUCUGAUGUGAAAGCCCACGGCUCAACCGUGGAGGGUCAUUGGAAACUGGAGAACUUGAGUACAGAAGAGGAAAGCGGAAUUCCACGUGUAGCGGUGAAAUGCGUAGAGAUGUGGAGGAACACCAGUGGCGAAGGCGGCUUUCUGGUCUGUAACUGACGCUGAGGCGCGAAAGCGUGGGGAGCAAACAGGAUUAGAUACCCUGGUAGUCCACGCCGUAAACGAUGAGUGCUAAGUGUUAGGGGGUUUCCCGCCCCCUUAGUGCUGCAGCUAACGCAUUAAGCACUCCGCCUGGGGAGUACGCCGCAAGGCUG
rnacentral:rRNA from 1 species